rnacentral:rRNA from 1 species
UGCAGUCGAACGAUGAAGCCCUUCGGGGUGGAUUAGUGGCGAACGGGUGAGUAACACGUGGGCAAUCUGCCCUUCACUCUGGGACAAGCCCUGGAAACGGGGUCUAAUACCGGAUAACACUUCCACUCUCCUGGGUGGAGGUUAAAAGCUCCGGCGGUGAAGGAUGAGCCCGCGGCCUAUCAGCUUGUUGGUGAGGUAACGGCUCACCAAGGCGACGACGGGUAGCCGGCCUGAGAGGGCGACCGGCCACACUGGGACUGAGACACGGCCCAGACUCCUACGGGAGGCAGCAGUGGGGAAUAUUGCACAAUGGGCGAAAGCCUGAUGCAGCGACGCCGCGUGAGGGAUGACGGCCUUCGGGUUGUAAACCUCUUUCAGCAGGGAAGAAGCGAAAGUGACGGUACCUGCAGAAGAAGCGCCGGCUAACUACGUGCCAGCAGCCGCGGUAAUACGUAGGGCGCAAGCGUUGUCCGGAAUUAUUGGGCGUAAAGAGCUCGUAGGCGGUCUGUCACGUCGGAUGUGAAAGCCCGGGGCUUAACCCCGGGUCUGCAUUCGAUACGGGCAGACUAGAGUGUGGUAGGGGAGAUCGGAAUUCCUGGUGUAGCGGUGAAAUGCGCAGAUAUCAUGAGGAACACCGGUGGCGAAGGCGGAUCUCUGGGCCAUUACUGACGCUGAGGAGCGAAAGCGUGGGGAGCGAACAGGAUUAGAUACCCUGGGUAGUCCACGCCGUAAACGGUGGGAACUAGGUGUUGGCGACAUUCCACGUC